GAGCACGAAGGUUGGCUAAUCCUGGUCGGACAUCAGGAGGUUAGUGCAAUGGCAUAAGCCAGCUUGACUGCGAGCGUGACGGCGCGAGCAGGUGCGAAAGCAGGUCAUAGUGAUCCGGUGGUUCUGAAUGGAAGGGCCAUCGCUCAACGGAUAAAAGGUACUCCGGGGAUAACAGGCUGAUACCGCCCAAGAGUUCAUAUCGACGGCGGUGUUUGGCACCUCGAUGUCGGCUCAUCACAUCCUGGGGCUGAAGUAGGUCCCAAGGGUAUGGCUGUUCGCCAUUUAAAGUGGUACGCGAGCUGGGUUUAGAACGUCGUGAGACAGUUCGGUCCCUAUCUGCCGUGGGCGCUGGAGAACUGAGGGGGGCUGCUCCUAGUACGAGAGGACCGGAGUGGACGCAUCACUGGUGUUCGGGUUGUCAUGCCAAUGGCACUGCCCGGUAGCUAAAUGCGGAAGAGAUAAGUGCUGAAAGCAUCUAAGCACGAAACUUGCCCCGAG
rnacentral:rRNA from 1 species